AGUAAAUCUUAAGUCUCACGAACUCAGCAAAUGUAAUCCUUAUAAAAUGCAAAUAAAACAUAAUGUGAGAGUAGGUUUGGGCAUUAGGUACGGAUCAGUUCUUUUCAAGUCUAGGUUUUUUGGAUCCUAAACAUUUGGACAUAACUAGGUAUUUAAAAUUUUAUGUUUCAGAUUCAGGUCGAUUCCUUUAGGGUUCAGAUCUAUAAUUCAAAUACCUAUAAAAGACCAACAGUUUUUGGGUACAUAACGAGUCUGAAUUAGUUUGAGAUUUUUCGGACUCGGAAAAAUUAGAAGUAUCCAAAACCCAAAAAUACCGAAACACAAAAACACCCGAAAAUCACAAACAAAUACCUGAAAAAUAUUUAAAAAUUCUCAAAACACCCCAAAAUUUCACCAUAAAGCUGACAUGUGGAACAUCAAAAUACCUAAAAACAUUUCCUAAUACCCAAAAUAUUUUUUUAAAAUUAA
rnacentral:lncRNA from 1 species